GACGAACGCUGGCGGCGUGCUUAACACAUGCAAGUCGAACGGAAAGGCCCUGCUUUUGUGGGGUGCUCGAGUGGCGAACGGGUGAGUAACACGUGAGUAACCUGCCCUUGACUUUGGGAUAACUUCAGGAAACUGGGGCUAAUACCGUAUAGGAGCUCCUGCUGCAUGGUGGGGGUUGGAACGUUUCGGCGGUUGGGGAUGGACUCGCGGCUUAUCAGCUUGUUGGUGGGGUAGUGGCUUACCAAGGCUUUGACGGGUAGCCGGCCUGAGAGGGUGACCGGCCACAUUGGGACUGCGAUACGGCCCAGACUCCUACGGGAGGCAGCAGUGGGGAAUAUUGCACAAUGGGAGGAAGCCUGAUGCAGCAACGCCGCGUGCGGGAUGACGGCCUUCGGGUUGUAAACCGCUUUCGCCUGUGACGAAGCGUGAGUGACGGUAAUGGGUAAAGAAGCACCGGCUAACUACGUG
rnacentral:rRNA from 1 species